AGGUUAGGAUAGCCUACCCCUCAAUUUCUUUCAUUUUUGAGCGUUUAGGGGGAUCUUUAGGUGUUUUCCUAUACCUUGAGAAUUUUGUCUUUGAGGGUAGUAGUUUGAGUGUUGCAUUGGCUGAUUUGCUACCUUUGCUUCGUCAAUCAAUUGAUUGGUUUAAGAAUUUGGUGAGGGAGCGAAGGAUAAUGUCUGAGAUUAGAUCCAGUGAGCUCGAGACUAGGUUGUCUUCUAACGAUGACCCAUUGGAAGCUGAGGGUGAUACUGCCGUUUCUGCUCCUCAAGAGGUUAGGGCUUUUUUCGCUCUCGGGGAGGAAUGUAGCCUAUAUGCUGAAACCUUCUCCAGAUUUAGCCUAAGGUUUCAAUUUCCUAAUAGGGUUAGAGUUCGUCUUCUUACACCAGAGGAACGAGCUUGCCAUUUUUGGCCCGAGGAGGUGUGCUUCUAUGAGGCUACCUUCUUGAGUAGGCUCAGAUUCCCCGUCCACCCCUUUAUCAUGGAGCUUCUAAACCACUUCGAAAUUGCUCCAGGGCAACUUAUGCCCAACUCCUGGAGGAUAAUGGUUAGUUGUAUGGAAAUAUGGUUGACGAGCUUGUCUAUUUGUACCGUUUGAAAGAAUCUAAGGAGUAUGGGUACUAUGUGCUAGUGCCUUGGGUUAGGGACGCUAGGAUCGUCAAGGACUUGCCCUCAUUGUUCCAGUAUUGGAAGUCCCGAUUCUUUUUUGUCUCUGGGGAUGAGUUUGAGACCCUUUCUGGCGAGGUUUAGGGAGAUGUCCUUAGGUUCCUCUAUCAGUAGGGAACCUCGAGUCUAGUUAAGAGAUAGCCAAAGCUUAAGAGCAGGUAUAGGCAGCGCAUUGAAGUAACCAUCGAGUACGUGAGGACGAUCGAGGACUUUGACGAUCUAGUUGACCCGUGGACUCUUGCUUUUCACUGCCUUGGCCUAGAGCCUUCUGCUUUUGUCUUGCGAAACAUAAAGAUCGAGCCAAAAAAGAGAAUGACGACAAAGUUCAAUCAAGGAAUGUAUGCACAAAUGAGAGCCAAAAAGAAUGAGCCCCUUUCCAAUCUUGGGUCCAAAACUGUGCGGGUGAUGGAUAAGGGGGCCUCUGUCACUCCGGCUACCCCAGCUACCUUGGUUGAAGAAAUCAUUCCCCAAUAGAAGAGGAAGCGUACUAGUGACAGUGGGAAAGAUAAGGCUGACUCUCGUUCGUCUAAUGUUUGGGACGAUACCGGGGUUACAAUGGCCAGAGCGCAAGAGACUUUUACUACCGAGGAGAUGAAGGUAUUCUUAGGCACGUCUCCCAGUGAGGUUGUGGGUCGUCAUCUCCACAAGCUCAUCUAGGUGCUGGGGGAGAGUCUUCACAUUACCUCGGAGUAUCUUACUCAGGAGGCCAAGGUCGAGUCUGCAGUGUCCAGGGUGGUGGCCUUGGAGGCAGAGAACUCGAAGUUGAAGAAAGAUUUGAUUGCCGCCAUGGACAAGGCUAACAUUGCUAAGGAAAAGGCCAAGACCUUGAGUGACGACCUCAAAGCCGAGCGGCAGCUAACUUUGGAAAAGGACGAGUAACUUCUGGCUGCCAAGGAGAAAAUCAAGACCAUAGCUGCUAAAACUAUCGAAACUUUCCAGCAGACUGAAGAGUACAAUACUGUGCUAUUCAGCUGGUUCUUCAAAGGAAUUGAGCUCCUCAGGCGAUACUUCAUCAAGCAUCCCACAGGAGUGGAUCUGGAGAACCUUGAUCUUGAAGAGGUAGACAAGGAAAUGGCUGUUGACGAGGCCUCCCAGUUCACACCCCUGAAGGUGAUGCCCUCGAGAGUGCUCUUCCGCCUCCAGCUGGUGAUGACGCAGUCACAAACACCU